AAAGUCGUAACAAGGUCUCCGUUGGUGAACCAGCGGAGGGAUCAUUAUAGAGUUCUAAAAAACUCCCAAACCCUUGUGAACAUACCUAUCGUUGCUUCGGCAGGUCGCCCGCUACGCCUACCCGGUUAGCGGGCGUUUAAAAGCCUGCCAGUGGCCCAAAAAACUCUGUUUUAUAUUGAAACUCUGAAUCUAUAACUAAAUAAGUUAAAACUUUCAACAACGGAUCUCUUGGUUCUG
rnacentral:misc_RNA from 1 species